rnacentral:rRNA from 1 species
GACGAACGCUGGCGGCGUGCUUAACACAUGCCAGUCGAACGGAAAGGCCCUGCUUUUGUGGGGUGCUCGAGUGGCGAACGGGUGAGUAACACGUGAGUAACCUGCCCUUGACUUUGGGAUAACUUCAGGAAACUGGGGCUAAUACCGGGUAGGAGCUCCUGCUGCAUGGUGGGGGUUGGAAAGUUUCGGCGGUUGGGGAUGGACUCGCGGCUUAUCAGCUUGUUGGUGGGGUAGUGGCUUACCAAGGCUUUGACGGGUAGCCGGCCUGAGAGGGUGACCGGCCACAUUGGGACUGAGAUACGGCCCAGACUCCUACGGGAGGCAGCAGUGGGGAAUAUUGCACAAUGGGCGGAAGCCUGAUGCAGCAACGCCGCGUGCGGGAUGACGGCCUUCGGGUUGUAAACCGCUUUCGCCUGUGACGAAGCGUGAGUGACGGUAAUGGGUAAAGAAGCACCGGCUAACUACGUG